UGCUAUGAUGAUUCACUAGACUAGAGUCUCUGAUUUUACAGUGAUGCUAUUCACAGUGCACUGAGCA